GAUGAACGCUGGCGGCGUGCCUAAUACAUGCAAGUCGAGCGAACAGACGAGGAGCUUGCUCCUCUGACGUUAGCGGCGGACGGGUGAGUAACACGUGGAUAACCUACCUAUAAGACUGGGAUAACUUCGGGAAACCGGAGCUAAUACCGGAUAAUAUAUUGAACCGCAUGGUCCAAUAGUGAAAGACGGUUUUGCUGUCACUUAUAGAUGGAUCCGCGCCGCAUUAGCUAGUUGGUAAGGUAACGGCUUACCAAGGCAACGAUGCGUAGCCGACCUGAGAGGGUGAUCGGCCACACUGGAACUGAGACACGGUCCAGACUCCUACGGGAGGCAGCAGUAGGGAAUCUUCCGCAAUGGGCGAAAGCUUGACGGAGCAACGCCGCGUGAGUGAUGAAGGUCUUCGGAUCGUAAAACUCUGUUAUUAGGGAAGAACAAAUAUGUAAGUAACUAUGCACGUCUUGACGGUACCUAAUCAGAAAGCCACGGCUAACUACGUG
rnacentral:rRNA from 1 species